GGAAGAAUGGCGAAAUGGUAGACGCGCCGCACUCAAAAUGCGGUGGCCGCAGGUCGUAAGGGUUCGAGUCCCUUUUCUUCCA
rnacentral:tRNA from 1 species